GGGGGCGUCACGGUUUCGACGGGAUGUGCCUUUGGGAUAGGAGCAUGCGGUGGGGGUUACGACCACCUAAAUCCUGUAGCGAUAAAUAUAAAUGCCAAAAAAUCUGGCAACGUUGUAGCGUUCCCGUCUCGUACGGCUGCGCCUAUGGCGAUGGCUGCUUAAGUAUCAGCUUGUUCCCCGUUGGUUCGGGGCGCUGACUUACAGUCACGGUCUGGUUAACUGACGUCCGUUUUGGUUAGUUAAGGCCGUUUCAUUUUCAACGGACUCGGUGAAGCGGUGUUGGUACGCGUAGCCUAAAUUUUCACCAACACCUGUGGACGGUUAAGGGGUCUCCGGCUUUCCCCCGCAGGCAUAAAUCCGGAAACUAAGCAUGUAGUAGCCACCUGAAUGUAUGUUUCGGACGCGGGUUCAACUCCCGCCGCCUCCACCA
rnacentral:tmRNA from 1 species